ACCUCAGAGCAGGCGAAGCC
rnacentral:rRNA from 1 species